rnacentral:lncRNA from 1 species
GUCAUACAAAUAUACUGGGCUCCUUCUGUCAUGACACAGUUACAACACAGAUACAAAUACAAUCAGUCACACAGAUAUAGGGACAAUCACAAUGAGAAUUGACAAUCAGCACAAACUGGGCUCCUGCUCCAGUCAGAUGAAACUGUAUGCAUGACUAACUACGCGACCAUAGUCGACUAGGCUACCUUCGCUACACUAGGACAGCAAUAGAACUAUCAUCAUGCCUUCGGCCGUCGCCCUGUUACAUGAAUCAGAAGAGAAGAAUCAAAACACUGGAGCCAAUAUAUUAUGAACAGAACAUUCAAAAAAAGGACAAGUUCUUUAGAAAGAUAACACAAAUUCAGCUAAUACAAUGAUUUUUGUCCCCAGAUAGUUAAGACGAUAUACUCAUUCAUACAAGGAUGCUGCCAGUGCAUAACCGACCCACUCGCUGCAAUAGAAAAGAUGAAACUUGCAUAUUAUUCCAAGUCCCAUUUUCAACUUGAGUACACACAAAUAUGUAACCAGGAUUCAAUGAAAAUGAUGCUUAUAAUCUUAAUGAUGCACUAAGCAGACUAACGGAAAUAUAUAUGGGAGGUAUUCAGAAACAUGUUUAAUGGAAAUAUCCAGCUUGGAGAUAUUCAGAAGCAUGAUACUCCUAAUCAUGUACUUAUGCUGAGAAUAUUUAUGCUUUCAUGUUCAUAAUAUAUACUCUACUCAGCUUUACUAAGAAAUAUUGUUAAAUCUUGACAAGUUAAAUCUUGUUCGGUCUUGUUAAAUACUCCAAGCAACUAAUCCUACUGCGACUGCAUCUUGAGUAUAGUUACUCCAAGCAACUCUCUCGGACGAGUACUAACUAGAAAGAGCACCAUGGGGACGGGGAGGGUUGGAUGGAAAUCUCACCAGGAUGAGGUCGAAGAUGAACUAGGAGGUACCGAAGAGGAACACGAACAGGGACAGCAGGAACAACAUGAACUCCACCCCUCUUCGACCAACCUCUGCACAAGCACAACCACACGCAUGUCUCAUGAUUCAGUAGUCAGCGCGUACACCAAACUGUUGACUAUGGAUUUCAGAAAUGUGUGCGUGCGUACCGUGAAGACGGCGAUCCGUGAAGCUG